UACGUAGGGUGCGAGCGUUGUCCGGAAUUAUUGGGCGUAAAGAGCUCGUAGGCGGUCUGUCACGUCGGCUGUGAAAACCCGAGGCUCAACCUCGGGCCUGCAGUCGAUACGGGCAAACUAGAGUACUGCAGGGGAGACUGGAAUUCCUGGUGUAGCGGUGAAAUGCGCAGAUAUCAGGAAGAACACCGGUGGCGAAGGCGGGUCUCUGGGCAGUAACUGACGCUGGAGGAGCGAAAGCGUGGGGAGCGAACAGG
rnacentral:rRNA from 1 species